CGCCUCUUGCAUUCUAUGUAUAAGAGGUCCCGCCUGCCCUGUGACUAUGUGUUUAACGGCCGCGGUAUUUUGACCGUGCAAAGGUAGCGCAAUCACUUGUCUUUUAAAUAAAGACCUGUAUGAAUGGCAUGACGAGGGCUUAACUGUCUCCUUCUCCCGGUCAAUGAAAUUGAUCUCCCCGUGCAGAAGCGGGGAUAUUAUUAUAAGACGAGAAGACCCUGUGGAGCUUUAAAUGAUGAGAGAUUUUAUGCAACAAACCUAAAAAGGUAUAAGCGAAUUUAUACUCCCUCUAAUAUUUUUGGUUGGGGCGACCGCGGAGUAAAAAGAAACCUCCGUGAGGAAUGAGGUAAUUAACCUUAAAUCCCAGAACGACAAUUCAAAGAAACAAAAUUUUUGACCUAAAGAUCCGGCAAAGCCGAUCAACGAACCUAGUUACCCCAGGGAUAACAGCGCAAUCCCCUUCAAGAGUCCCUAUCGACAAGGGGGUUUACGACCUCGAUGUUGGAUCAGGAUAUCCUAAUGGUGUAGCCGCUAUUAAGGGUUCGUUUGUUCAACGAUUAAAAUCCU
rnacentral:rRNA from 1 species